CCUCUGCUCUGCUGGUGGCUCUCAAACUAAGUGCUUCUCAAACAUUGUUGUUUGCACAAGUCACCUAGGAAUCCUGUUAAAUGAAAGAUUCUGUUUCAGUAGCUAUGGGUGAGGCUUGCGUGCUCAGUCGCUCCGGUUGUGUUCUACUCUUUGCGACCCCAUGGACUGUAGCCUGCCAGGCUCCUUUGUUCAUGGGAUUCUCCAGGCAAGAAUACUGAAGUGGGUUGCCAUGCCUUCCUCCAGGGGAUCUUCCAGAACCAGGGAUAGAACCGAGUUCUCCUGCAUCUUCUGCACUGCAGACGGAUUCUUUACCAUUGAGCCACUGGGGAGUCUUAAGAUGCAGCAUUUCUGACAAGAUUCCAGGGGAUCCUCCCCAUCCAGGGAUCGAACCUGUGUCUCCUGCCUUGUAAGCAGAUUCUUUACCACUGAGCCACCAGGGUAGAUCUGAAUUGUGGAAGUCACAUGACAGAAUUAACCAGAUCAGAUAAACUGCCUUGGGGAAGAAUGACUCAGAUCUUACUGUAAGUGUGUCCAAUGACUCCUGACUGUGGGGAGCAGAACCAUGAAAUGCAUGCUGGGAAGGAUUAGAUAUUCUCUUUUCUCUUUCUUUCUUCCAUUUUCCCUCUCUCUCCACUACUUGUCUUUUGUUUCUCUGCCUUCUUUCUCCUUCCCAUCUUUCCUGUCCAAAUGAUGGGGAUAGUCUGGUCAAAGCUAUAAAGGAGAAAAGAAGGACUUUUGAAACAGAGGCUAGUCAGGCAACAGGUUUGGCUGAGAUGAAAGGAUGAGGGUUGGGAGUAAAAAAGAAAUUUGAGCAUGCACUUACGCAGAUGACGUUGAAAAGUGGGAUACUUUAGUCCCAAAGGACAAUUGUGAGCUUGGUAAAUUCUGGAGCAUGAAAUUGAUGUGAUAAACAUAGUAUCGAGAAGGACAUUUUACUAGCAAGUGGAGCUAACUGUGGCAGAACCUAAUGUUUCUUUAUCAAGGGACAGAGCCAGCCAUCUGGCCCAGUUCUAGGUUGUAGAGUCUACAAGCAUCCUAAUUAACUAAAGAAUUGAUUGCUGUCAGCAGGAGAUCACUCUGGAAGACUUGAAGAUGCUUCUAAUACAUACACAUGGCCAUUUCCUGCUGUCUCCAGACUUAGAGUUCCUCUCCAGAACACCUGGGCCCUCCUUCAUGGUUCAGCUGGAACGCCUUCAUUUCAAGGACAUUUUCCCUGACCUGCUCCAUUUGAUUACUUUCCCCUGUCAUCGUUUGUAUACACUACUCUUUUCACCUGCCCCUGUGGGAUCUUGCCCUCUGAAGAGGCCCCAUCUCACUGCACUUCUAUUGCCCCUUGGGAGCUGCGACUGUCUUUAACUCUCCAGUCAAUGGCCCCAACACUGCGUCACAUAGCAGGUGACUAUGGAUUGACUGAGCUUCCAUAACUCUAGGCAACCAAGUGGGACGUGCAGAUGUCAUUCCAUAACUUCACUGGAAAACAUUGAUUUUCAAAUGUACUUUCAAAUACAUCUUGUCCUAAAAAGAGGCCAGAAGGUGAAAGGUUAGAUUUGAUGGGACUGAGUUAGGCUGUUUGCAACUCUGACAUUCUGUGAUCUAAGUGCAAAGUUCCCUAGAAGGAGGAGGAGGCAGGGUCAAUGAGGCUAUUUGCUAGGAUUAUCUAGGGGAGUUAGGGGCUGGAAACUAAGUACCCUAAUCCUCCUUAACUUGCUCACAUGGCUCAACCUCAUCAAGCAUUCUUAGCAUCAGAAACUUCAAACCAAACCAAUCCAAAGUAAGGCCUCUUUGUUGGUACAGCAAAUAGAGAAGCAAAGACACCAAUCUGCAUGCUCCCUAAUCUCCUUGGAUCUUGUUCAGGAUGCAUGUGGCUGGUGACAGACAGGAUGGUGUUAAUUUCUCAGACUGGGUCGCAACAGCUGCAAGACUCUCCACCUUCAGAGACAUCAGCACAUUUUUCUAUCAAGUAGGAUGCAGGAAGUAGGGAUGCCACUGGGGCCAGGGCUCAUACCUCUCACAGUGAUUUUCUUUCCAGGGUAUUAUUCUAGAAGCUGGUACUCAUCUCUCCUUGGUUGAUAUAUACCCAGGGCCCACCUAGUCGAAGCAGGGGUCUAAAUCUCAUUGGCUCUACUGCUUAUCUUCCUUAGUAAGUUUGGUAACAUACCGGAAUUAAAAUAUUCUUGUGUAAAUGCUUGAUGUCUAGUAUAAAGGUGCUACUUUUGCUUCUUGUUCACAAUACUUGAUCCACAUAAACAAAACAAAUCCCUGCUCCCAUUCUCUUUCCUUUACUACCAAAGCAUAAUGCCAAUCACAAACACUAUUUUAACACACUCCUCUUAUACUUUAGCAGGAAGUCAGAGGGGAGACCUAUGUUUAAAAUGGUCAGUCCCAGGGACUUCAGGUCUGAAUGACUGUUAGAGGGAGAUUGGCAGAUGGCUGGAGGAGUGUGAGCAAUCAUGUGAACAAAGGACUGUUACGGGAAACAUCAAAGAGUCUAGUUGUUUGGGGGGUUGGCUGUAUAGAAAGUAAAGCUGGGGAAGCAGAUUGAGCUCAUAUUGUGUAGGGUCCUGAACUGGAUGGGUAGUGGGUGAGCCAUUGAAUGGCACAGCUAGUGCUAUGAUUUACAGAGAUUAAUUUGAUGGUGGUAUGUAGAUUGCUUUAAUCUGUUAUCAUCUCCAAGAACAGAAUGCUGAGCCUUGUUGGAGAAGUUUUUAUGAACUCUGCAGAUUGCACAGAAAACAUAUUUUCUUCCAUCACAGCAGGCUGGUAAUUUCAGUCUAGCAGUCCUUCUGUGUGCCAUCAGUCCGUCCCUCAUCUGUUCCCAAUAAUGAACUACUGCUACCCCUAUUAAAAACCAUUUUCUUUGGAACCUUGGAAAUUUCUUAUUUAGUAGAUUUGACUAAAGCAAUUACUAUAAACAAUGAAAAAACAUUAAAAAAAUUAUAAGCAAAGGGAUGCCUCUGAUUUGCAUAUGGGAGUGUUCACUUCAGUUAGAGAAUGAAGAUGGG
ensembl:lncRNA